rnacentral:tRNA from 1 species
GGCUGGUUAGCUCAGUGGGUUGAGCGUGCUGCUGAUAACACCAAGAAUGUGGGUUCGAUUCCCGUUUGGUCCG